CAGGCACCGGUUCACCCCAGCUCCAGCGGGGACCCGGCGGCC
rfam:Actinokineospora spheciospongiae strain EG49 contig1272_0, whole genome shotgun sequence.